GUAUUUUGACCGUGCAAAGGUAGCGCAAUCACUUGUCUUUUAAAUGAAGACCUGUAUGAAUGGUGAAACGAGGGCUUAACUGUCUCCCUUUUCCAGUCAAUGAAAUUGAUCUACCCGUGCAGAAGCGGGUAUUGUACUACAAGACGAGAAGACCCUUUGGAGCUUAAGAUGAUGGAUCAACCAUGUCAAAAGCCCUGAAAAAGAAGCCAAACAAAAUAGCACACUGAUCCUAAUCUUCGGUUGGGGUGACCGCGGGAGAAAACAAAGCUCCCACGCGGACUGGGGUAGCCCCCUAAAACUAAGAGAGACAUCUCUAAGACACAGAACAUCUGACCACAAUGAUCCGGCUACACGCCGAUCAACGAACCAAGUUACCCUAGGGAUAACAGCGCAAUCCCCUUCCAGAGUCCAUAUCGACAAGGGGGUUUACGACCUCGAUGUUGGAUCAGGACAUCCU
rnacentral:rRNA from 1 species